rnacentral:pre_miRNA from 1 species
AGCCUUUGUAUCCGUGCAAAGAUUUCGUCACACACCAAACCACAAAGGCGGACGAGACUUCCCAGAUAUGUCGACACG